UACGUAGGGGGCAAGCGUUGUCCGGAUUUACUGGGCGUAAAGAGCGUGUAGGCGGCCAAGCAGGUCCGUUGUGAAAACUGGAGGCUUAACCUCCAGACGUCGACGGAAACCGCGCGGUUAGAGUCCGGAAGAGGAGAGUGGAAUUCCUGGCGUAGCGGUGAAAUGCGUAGAGAUCAGGAAGAACACCGGUGGCGAAGGCGCUCUGCUAGGCCGCAACUGACACUGAGGGACGAAAGCUAGGGGAGCGAAUGGG
rnacentral:rRNA from 1 species